rnacentral:rRNA from 1 species
UGCCAGCAGCCGCGGUAAUACGUAGGGGGUUAGCGUUGUUCGGAAUUACUGGGCGUAAAGCGCACGUAGGCGGAUUAGUAAGUUAGGGGUGAAAUCCCGGGGCUCAACCCCGGAAUUGCCUUUGAAACUGCGUUGCUUGAGUGUCGGAGGGGAUAGCGGAAUUCCUAAUGUAGAGGUGAAAUUCGUAGAUAUUAGGAGGAACACCGGUGGCGAAGGCGGCUAUCUGGACGACUACUGACGCUGAGGCGCGAAAGCGUGGGGAUCAAACAGGAUUAGAUA